UAAAUUUUUUUUAGGUUUUAUGACUUUUUACGAGCAACAAAUGUCGUUGGAAAGUAGCUAUACAUUUCCUUCUCCUUUAAUAUUUUAUUCACUGGAUUAUUGUGGGGAUGGUUUGGAUGAGUUGUUUGAGCUUUUUUGGUUCCUUUUUCUCUAUGUAAUGGUUUUUCUGUGUGCUUCUAUGUUUGGGUGCAUGUAAUUUUUUAAUAGCAACUGCAAUUUUUAUUUUUAUUUUUUUCACAGUUUAUAAUUAUAUGUGGUGUCAAAAACAGUCUCUCUACCUUAUCAAGUUAUUGUUAAGGUUGUGUACACCACCUUCCCUAUACCUCACUUGUGGAAGACCUAGCAAAGUACAAAAUAUGAAUGAAGCAAACGAUCAGUAGGCAACUCCAAUGGUUAGGAUUAAUGUUUAUUAUGUUUUGCUACAGUUAUAUCAAGUAUGUUGUUUGCCAGGAGUCCUUUUUGUUCAUUACUGAUUUGUAUUUCGGAUGGAAAUAUAAAAAAUCUUUGUAAUAGAGUACCUUAAUAAUUUAUGAGUAUUGGAAUGAAACUGCUCCAAAUGAAACAAAAUGUAUAUUUAGUGUUCAUAUAGCCCACCUCAAUUGACUUAGAUUUGAAGCAUAGCUUUUUAAAUUUGUUGAUCGUAGUUUUAUGUACAUAGCAUCUUCUUUUUCUUGAUCAAAGUAGGAUCAUUUUUUCAUUAUAUUUGCUAGGUUCAUCAUGUCCAAAACAACUUCUUCUUUUCCUUUGCAAGGUCAGAUCAUUUUGAACUUCUCUCAUUUUUCAUUCCUUCAUUGUUAUGCUAAAUCUUUGAACGAGUUGUAGCUACAAUAGAAUUAUGUGACGGACACAAUACUUUUGAAAUGUAGUUUAUAUGCAUUUUAUAAGUUGUAUAUGUAUAUUAUUACCAAUAUUUAGAAGUAAGAGUUAGAGAGGAUGAACACGGCUAUGAUUAGUUGUACAAAUAGUAUUUAAAAUUGUACUAUAAAACAUAGGGUCAUUUUGUUGGCCUUUUGUGUCUGUGGAUUUAUUUAAUUGGUUAUUGUUACACGUGUAAUAGAUUGUCAUUCGUGUCAAAAAAUAACUCCCUCAAAUGAAUAGAGAAACGGAGACUGGAAUGUUCCAUUCCCAUUUUCUUUACUGUGAUUCUCAAUUUACCCAUUUUCUCAGUUUUUUUCUUCUCUUUCUUCAUUUGGAUCUAUUAGUAUUAGUUUAUUUAUUUACUCUCCUUUUCCAGAUUUGACCUAAUUUUCAAGAUCUAUUUGAUGCUUGCAUUGAGAGGUAAUUAAUUCUCUUCUUACAUUUCUGUUCUCUAAAGUUUAAUGUAUUUGGUAUUAACUUUUAUAUUUGAUGGAUUUUUCUCCUUUUACAUUGUUUUUAUUUAGAUUUUGUUUCAUGAAAAUGGAAAUAAGAUUGAACUUAGAUAGUAGGAGUGCCAGAAAAUAAGAUGAAGAGAUUUUGUUAGGUUGCUUAUGUCAUUUGGUUGAUGUACAUGUUUUGAACUGUGAGUGUAUCUUAGCAUAGUUUUGAGCAUUGAUGACCUCUCUGAAUUUAACCACUCUAUUUGAGAUCCCAUUUCUUGGGUGGGAAGUCUCAAAUUGAAAAUAAAGUUGUGGGUUUGAAGAUCUUAAUGUUAGAAUUUGUGAUAUAUCCCUCCUCAAUUGUUGCUGCACAUGUUUUGUCACCCUUUGCAAUAAAUUUUGAGCGGUCUGUUGUAGCUUGAGGGUAAUCGUCAUAAAAAAAUUGACAUCUUUUUGGGUUCAAAACAAUGUUUUAAUCUCGCACCAACGUGUGACUUUUAGUCUUUUCCAUAAGCGUUCUAACUUGGACAAGUUAUUGCUCAACAUGAUAUCAAAAUCUAAUUAACGAAUGAGGUAUUUAGUCGUAGUGACCUAUUUGAUAAUUCUCAUAGUUGUCAAUAACAACAGCAUACCCAUUCAAAUUCCACAAGUGGAGUAUGAGGAGGAUAAAGUGUAAGAAGACCUUACCUCUACCUCAUGAAAGUAGAGAAAUUGUUUUUGAAAUUUUCAUAGUUGUCCAAUUAUCUUAUUAUGUUGGUAUAAUCGUAUAAGAAGCCUCUUGUAGAAGUAAUUGAAGGAGUUGCAGCAGGAAAAAUUAGUGUUCCCACAAAAAAGUAUUCUGGCACGACAACGGAUGAGGUCACCUACUUUUAUUUCGAAUUCUUAUGGAUUUAACUCCUUUAUGAUUAAAGACGUUUGAUAAACGUGGCAAUUAAUACUUUUGGAUCCUUGCUCGCUUUUAUAAUUAUUCCUCGACUUAGCUAAUGUGGCAGAAAACAAUCAAGGUUUAGAGACAGAACAAGAAGUAGGCUAAACUAUGGGAAGGGUUGAUUCAGAUUCUCUUGAUUUUCAUGUCCUUCAGGUACAAUGACACAUACUUUUUUCAGGUUCUUCAAAUUUUGGCCCCUUUUUGUUCAAAAAGAACCAUAGUGUUCUGUUUAGUGUACUAAUAAUAUUUAGUGACAGAUUAUGGUGUUGUAUAUUGUAUUUAUUGCAUAUUGGAUUUGAUCACUUCUGUUAAGUCUUGGCAAAAAAUAGGUUUAAGUAUACAUUUAUGUAGAUGUGCUAAGGUGAGGAAUUGCAAUCAGUUACUUCCUGAGAUGCAACUGGAAGAGAGAUAUACGGUACACAAAUAAAAUGUAAAGAAAAAGGGCAAGUGCGACAUUUUAUUGUUGUUAGAAUUGGUAGCCAAAUACAUGUGAAUAUGAGAAGAAAAUGCCAAAGCACAUCCUUAUGUUUCUUAAAGCUAAAAGCAAAAAACAUCAUAACCAUGAAGAACAAGAGAAAUGCAGUAUAUUGUUCAUUUAUGCUAUUCUUACAUCUAGAUUGGAAAAAAUAUUAUGCUACUUCUGUCUCACUGUACUUUUCAUUUCAAG
rnacentral:lncRNA from 1 species